CCUACGGGAGGCAGCAGUGGGGAAUAUUGCGCAAUGGGCGAAAGCCUGACGCAGCGACGCCGCGUGAGGGAUGAAGGUCUUCGGAUCGUAAACCUCUGUCAGCAGGGAAGAACGGUCACUGUGCUAAUCAGCAGUGAAUUGACGGUACCUGCAAAGGAAGCACCGGCUAACUCCGUGCCAGCAGCCGCGGUAAUACGGAGGGUGCGAGCGUUAAUCGGAAUUACUGGGCGUAAAGCGCUCGUAGGCGGUAUGUCAAGUCAAGGGUGAAAGCCCCGCGCUCAACGUGGGAACUGCCUUUGAAACUGGGCAACCUGAGUGUGUUAGAGGAUAGGGGGAAUUCAGGGGUAGGAGGGAAA
rnacentral:rRNA from 1 species